rnacentral:rRNA from 1 species
AUUGAACGCUGGCGGCAGGCCUAACACAUGCAAGUCGAGCGGGGUUUUCGGACCUAGCGGCGGACGGGUGAGUAAUGCGUAGGAAGCUGCCCGAUAGAGGGGGAUACCAGUUGGAAACGACUGUUCAUACCGCAUAAUGUCUACGGACCAAAGUGUGGGACCUUCGGGCCACACGCCAUCGGAUGCGCCUACGUGGGAUUAGCUAGUUGGUGAGGUAAUGGCUCACCAAGGCGACGAUCUCUAGCUGGUUUGAGAGGAUGAUCAGCCACACUGGAACUGAGACACGGUCCAGACUCCUACGGGAGGCAGCAGUGGGGAAUAUUGGACAAUGGGCGCAAGCCUGAUCCAGCCAUGCCGCGUGUGUGAAGAAGGCCUUCGGGUUGUAAAGCACUUUCAGCGAGGAGGAAGGGUGGUGUGUUAAUAGCACAUCAUUUUGACGUUACUCGCAGAAGAAGCACCGGCUAACUCUGUGCCAGCCGCCGCAGUAA